GCUAUAGCUGCACUUGAUGGAAGGGUACGUGAUAGUUUACUUUUUCAUAUAAUGAAGUUAUUCUGGAACUUGGGCAUUCUUCAUAAUUUAUAUGUAAAAGGACAAUGGGUGGCAACAUAGAUUAUGGUUGGCAACUUCUUUUCUCAUGUUGCCAACAUCCACUAGUUUUGUCAUGUGGACUUGGAAUUGAGAAAAGAAAUGGAUGCAAAUGGUCUAUCAAUAGUUAUUUAUUAGUGCAAGAACUAUUAAUGUCAUAUGAUUUCUGUUUGAUAAUGUGCGGUGGUCUGGUUUUUCAGAGUCUUGAUGGGAGGGCAAUCAG
rnacentral:misc_RNA from 1 species